UGAUGAUUAAAAACAAAAUGGGCUUUCCCCUCUCUUUUUCUCUUUUCUAUUUUAACCUCUCUAUUUUUUUUUAUUUUUUUUUGUGCUAAAAUAUUAAAAUUUUAAAAUCUCUAAAGAAAAUUUAUUUCCCCUUUAUUAAUUAAAAACAUAUUUUUUAAUUUUUCAAAAACAAAUUUAUUCAUCCGAACAAAAUUGGAUGUUUUCAAA
rnacentral:lncRNA from 1 species